ACCUGCCUUCUGCCCUUAGGCUCCGGUAGACUGCAAAUGACCUGCUUUCUUUCUGUUCCCGGGCUGCGUUUGGACCCCUGUCGGAUAGUAAAUCCCAAGUAAGGUACCUGCCCUCGGCAGAUUUGAGCUUUCUUCUUGGACACCUAAUACCCACAGUCCCCCAGUAAAUCCCAAGUAAGGUACCUGCCCUCGGCAGAUUUGAGCUUUCUUCUUGGACACCUAAUACCCACAGUCCUCCAGGAAUGGAACAGAUAAGAAGAUACUGAAAUUGGACGGUGCUGCCGUGCGGCUGCCGCAGGACACCUUUAAUAUCCCUGUUUCUCAGGCUGUAGAUGAAGGGGUUCAGCAUGGAGGUGAUCACCGUGUACAUCACUGAGGCCACUGCAGCCUUUCUCGGGGAAGAUGACACAUCUGAACUGAGGUACCCUCCAAAGCCUGUUCCGUAAAAUCAGCAAACAACUGACAGGAUAACUUCAGGAAGUGGGUAUUAAUUCUCACGGUAUAAGUGAAGACAUUAAGCACCAGAGUUUAAGUAGCUUGAUCCACUGAAAGAGAUUCAACUGUGUGGAACCUAUGCCGUGGAGAAUUGCUUUCUGCCAUUGUUAUCGUCCAGCAGUUGCCGAAUAGCUCUGACCUGAGCAAAGCAGUGAAACGCGGUGCUGUUGAGUGGGUUGCCACUGCACCUUUUUCAACUACUCUAGUCUUGUGGAGAAAAUACCCCUUCUAAAUUUUUUCUUCAUUGAAUACUCUCCCUCAGCUCCAGAGUACCAUAUAGAGUUUUCUUGUAUUUUAGAGUUACUGUUUUAUCAAAGUUUACCAGUCUUUUGUAUUACAUUUCUCCUGUCUAAA
rnacentral:lncRNA from 1 species